GACGAACGCUGGCGGCGUGCUUAACACAUGCAAGUCGAACGCUGAAGCUUGGUGCUUGCACUGGGUGGAUGAGUGGCGAACGGGUGAGUAAUACGUGAGUAACCUGCCCUUGUCUCUGGGAUAAGCCUGGGAAACUGGGUCUAAUACUGGAUACGACAUGUCACCGCAUGGUGGUGUGUGGAAAGGGUUUUACUGGUUUUGGAUGGGCUCACGGCCUAUCAGCUUGUUGGUGGGGUAAUGGCUCACCAAGGCGACGACGGGUAGCCGGCCUGAGAGGGUGACCGGCCACACUGGGACUGAGACACGGCCCAGACUCCUACGGGAGGCAGCAGUGGGGAAUAUUGCACAAUGGGCGGAAGCCUGAUGCAGCGACGCCGCGUGAGGGAUGACGGCCUUCGGGUUGUAAACCUCUUUCAGCACGGAAGAAGCGAAAGUGACGGUACGUGCAGAAGAAGCGCCGGCUAACUACGUG
rnacentral:rRNA from 1 species